rnacentral:rRNA from 1 species
UACGGAGGGGGCAAGCGUUGUCCGGACUUACUGGGCGUAAAGGGUGCGUAGGCGGUUGCAUGCGUCCGCGCUGAAAUCCCGAGGCUCAACCUCGGGGCGCGUGCGGAUACGAUGCGACUUGAGGCUCGGAGAGGGUGGGAGAACUCCAGGUGUAGCGGUGAAAUGCGUAGAUAUCUGGAGGAACACCGGUGGCGAAGGCGGCAUCCUGGACCGAUACUGACGCUGAGGAGCGAAAGCCAGGGGAGCAAACGGG